UACGUAGGCAGCGAGCGUUGUUCGGAGUUACUGGGCGUAAAGGGUGUGUAGGCGGUCCUCUAAGUUUGGUGUGAAAUCUCCCGGCUCAACCGGGAGGGUGCGCCGAAAACUGGAGGGCUAGAGUGCGGGAAGGGAGAGUGGAAUUCCUGGUGUAGCGGUGAAAUGCGUAGAUAUCAGGAGGAACACCGGUGGUGUAGACGGCUCUCUGGACCGUAACUGACGCUGAGACACGAAAGCGUGGGUAGCAAACAGG
rnacentral:rRNA from 1 species